GGGCGAUUGGCGCAGCGGGAGCGCAGGACGUUUACACCGUCAAGGUCGGGGGUUCAAAUCCCUCAUCGCCCACCA
rnacentral:tRNA from 1 species